AGCUGCUGUGGCUCCAAAUGCCCUGAUCCAAAGACAGUCGCUCCCAGCUAGAGGAAGCACUCGGAGGACAAGACACCUGCCACACAAGAGUGGGCACCUGGGCUCGGAUUCCCUGAACCCAGACAGAAGCUAGGACAGUGACAGUGGUGAAUGCCUGUAACCCCAGCACUCUCUCUUGGUGAGAUGGAAGGCUCGGCAGGAGAAUCCCCCAAAACUCACAGGUCAGCGAGGCGGCCAUUCACGGUGCAAUGAGCUGCGGUAACUGCCGCCUGUGUGAGAUUUGUUUUCCCUCUAAAGAUAUAAAAGAGAAGGCACCAGAGAGCUUGGCAGCGCUGACGCCAUUAAAGGGAAGAGGAGAGGCAGAUGCCCCAUGCUUUUUCUGAACAGGAGGAUUGCCUUCUCUAUUCUUCACUGACAAGGAAUUAUAAGACCAUGGGGAAUGUAUGCCAUGAAAGAAAGCACCAGAGCACCUGAGCCUGAAGAAUCCUCAAUGAACAUGGAGGAGUGGGCCCAGCAGGAAGCCAGACACAUGGCAUCAAGUAAGAAGGAAACACAUGGCCUGUUGAUUGACAGGUCAAAAUAAAGAGAAGAUAAAAG